rnacentral:lncRNA from 1 species
CUUGAAGUAAAAGCACACUCAGGUCCCAGGUCCCAGAUCCAGGCGCCUCCCGCAGCCAAGGGGUGACCCAAGGCUGGGUGGGGGGGCAAAACAGGGGUCCAGACCCCCGCCUUGGGAAGGGGCACUGUGGGCCCGCAUUCAGGAGCUUCCCCUCUGAAGCAGGGUGGUCAUCCUGAGUCGUGAGCCGACCUCUCGGAUCCUCCAUGUGUCCAGCUCACUCAGCACUCAAGGCGCCGUGGACGGAGCACAAGCGUGUCUGCUGGCCGGGGUUCUGUCCAGGUGAAGACCCCCCGAGGCGUCGUGAAGGACAGGCCGUGGAGGCGUAUUCACGUGGUGGACCCCACACGGCAAGCCGAAGGCCCCAGGCGCAGCACAGGAGCUGGCCGUGGUCAGGUGGGUGCGAGAAGCAUCAGCAAGGAGGACAGGCAGGGUGGCCGGCGGGUGGAAAGUGCAGAAACAGGCCGCCCUGGCCGUGGCGCGAGAGUGGGAAGGCGACGGGUCGGGGCCCAUGACAGGGUGCCGUGAGUGCACCUUGUGGUUGAAUUUAAAAACUGGGUUUCCAUUUGUUUUAACAACCUCCGCUGUGGAGGGCGGAGCUCCAGGGCACGGCCAGGUCACGGUGACCAGCCUCCAAGUGGCCUGACUUCGCAAGCUGCUCAAGCCCAGAGACUAUUUUUUGUCCGUCACCACUGGAGUCUGCAAUGUGGCCGGCUCCACGUCCUCGUCCUCCCCGUCAUGACUUCCGAGGUGUCUGGGGACAGUGCAGUCCCCCUGCCUCCCCCCUCCUCCUGUUCUGGGAAGGGAGGGGACGUCUGGCCCACCGGCUGCAGCCCGGCUUCCUGUUUAGAGGCUCGCUCAAGCCACAAUUAUCCCAGCGCAAGACGCAGCUCCUCAGCAGGCCAGACGUCCUCCGUGGGUUUGCAGAAGGGCAGGGUUGUCAGGGCGGCCACUCCCACAGAGGGACAGACGGGCAGUCCAGACUCUGGAGGCCUCUGGGGGCCCCACAGUGCCUGCGUCCUCUCUGUUGGGACCGGUGACGCCUUGGGAGAGCAAACGGAGCAUUCUCUUAUUCCGCCUGGGGACAGCGGGGGGCCUGGCUUCCGCCCUUUGCUCUGGAUGCUGGCGUCUUUUUAUUACGACAUUUUUCAAACAUGCAGAAAAACCACAAGUGCACAAACCACAUGGCUGUUCCACUUACCACCCAGUCACGGGGUCACCAGCGCGUUGUUGUACUGGCUUCCUGCAGGAACACACACACACACACACACACACACGACCCCCCACACUCCAAAUCACAGACAUCGUGACGUCGCACCCCGGAUGCUUCCUUCCCUAAGGACAUCCAGGAAAAUAAGGAGGACUUUCCACACAGCCACAGAACCAUGCCCACGUCCAGCACAGUGGGCAAUGAUCCCUUCAUCCUGCCUGAUGUCCACCUCAUAUUCCAAUUGCCUUGACUCCAAACAUCUUGCAUAGUUUUUUAACAAAACCAAGGUCCAACUGAGGGUCACUGCAGGUGACGUUUCUUUGCCUUUUCUCUGUCACAUCGCAGCACAUCCUCUUCUCCCUCUUAAAGAAAUCAGUCGGGUCCCUGGACCCCCGGAGGCUUGACAGGAAACCACAGUGACGGAGAUGCCAAGUCGUCACGGGAGGGGCACUCAGCACGCAUCCCCAAGGGGGCGGCUUCCCCUUGCAGCUAGCGAGUGCCCGGGUGAUGUUUGCCCCUCCUCUUUAUGCUUUGUCCUGGGGUGGAGAAGUGGGGGGCGUGCAGUCUCAGGUGGAGUCUCAGGUGGCCGAAGCAUAGGUUUUCUUCCAAUUUGGACAUGGGGACACGGGCUCAGAGCCAAGGAGCCUGCCCACCACCCCCGGGGACUUGAAAGCUGGUCCUGGGCUCCUAGCCACUCUGCCACGUCACCGGGACUUUAACUGCCACCCAGACUACUUUUCUGGGGCUGCGUCCCUGCCCCAGGGGAAGCCAGGCCAGGAGUAGGAAGCCUGAGAUGGGCAAGUCCAGAUUUGCACUAGCUGGGACCCGAUACCUGAAGGUCACCGAGGCCUGCAUCUGACCUUCACCUGUUUGCAGUCUUCGGGUGUCAUUUUGAAAUCUGUUCAUGACAGGGACUUAAUAAAACAUGUUAAAUAGUGUUCAUGGCCAGGUGGCUGCUUUGUUGGGCCACAAGGUGAAGGUGCUUGGCCUCGCUGGCUCCUGCCGAGUCCCGUCACGGAGGGAGCAGGGUCAGGAGCCCAGGACCUGCGGGUGAGGAAGGACCAGCCCUGGCCACAGGGCUCCCACUGGGGACAGAGUGACACCUGGAGGUGCAGAACUAGGGAAGUGACAAUGGAGUGUAGGGGCUG